GUGAUGAUAAAUCAUAAUUCUCCUUUCUAAUUUCUCCGGAAACCAAUAAACACAAAUUUCACCAUACAAGCGCCAAUCAUUGGAUCCAAUUAAUGACUCCCACAUCAUCACUCCAAACAGACCAAAAACAAAAACAGAAACCAUCAUUUUCAUUUUGCUCGCCCAUCCCAUGGCCCCAAUCGCCCCCUAAACCUCCUUUCUCUCUCCUAUAAUACAAAUCCUCCUAUUCCCUUUUCCUCCGAUUUCUUCCUUUUAAAACUUCUCUUGCAAUCUUCAAAUCAAUUUCCUUCGACUUUCUUUCCAUUCUCUUUUCCUAGGAUUUUUUUUUUUAACCUUCUCCCAUCUAAAGACCCUUUUAGAAUUCUGAUUUCUUGAUAUAUAUAUUUUGACACUGGGACUUGAAUAUGUGUUUAUUUAUGAGCUUUGAUAUGAGCCGCUGGUUGAUUUUCUUCUGUUUCUAAAACCCUAAUUCUGGUGCCAAUGGCGAUCGUCACAGGGGAUCGCUACCUUGAGAAGCUGGUCAAAUUCGUUGACGAGCAAGCGGGGCCUUUGAUCGAAGGGACAAAGGUUCUGAAGCUCAACCCGGCGGGCCUCCACUACGUUCAGUCGCGGCUCGAGGCGUUGCAGGAGCUCGAGAGACUUCUAGCGGGAGCUCCAGUUGACUAUCUACGUGCCUACGUCUCGGACCUUGGGGACCACCGUGCGCUCGAACAGCUUCGCCGGAUACUACGGCUGCUAACGACUCUUAAGGUGGUAUCUGCCUUGCCACCGCCUGCGCGUGACCCCACGCCGCUCUCAUUGCUGCCAUUUGGAAGACUGAAGGUUCUGGAACUCAGAGGGUGCAAUUUGUCGACUUCAGCAGCCAAGGGAUUGCUUGAAUUGAGGCAUACUUUGGAGAAGAUUAUUUGCCAUAAUUCAGCAGAUGCUUUACGACAUGUGUUUGCCAGUAGAAUUGCUGAGAUAAAGGGCUCUCCACAGUGGAACCGGUUGUCCUUUGUUUCGUGUGCUUGCAAUCGCAUGUUACUAAUGGAUGAGUCUUUGCAACUUCUUCCUUCUGUUGAAACCCUUGAUUUAAGUCGAAACAAGUUUGCAAAGGUGGAUAAUCUUCGGAAAUGUGCCAAGUUGAAGCACUUGGAUCUUGGAUUCAAUCAACUGCGAUCCGUCUCAUCAUUUAGUGAGAUGCAGGUGUCCUGUCAUGUUGUUAAACUUGUUUUGAGGAACAAUGCUCUAACUACAUUGCGUGGAAUUGAGAAUUUGAAGUCACUUGAAGGGCUUGAUGUUUCCUACAAUAUUAUUUCCAAUUUUUCAGAGUUGGAGUUCCUUGUGGGCCUCCCAUCUCUACAAAGCUUGUGGCUUGAAGGGAAUCCACUAUGUUGUGCCCGAUGGUAUCGCGCACAAGUAUUCAGCUACUUCUGUCAUCCAGAAAAUUUGAAAUUAGAUGACAAGGAAGUCAGUACCAGAGAGUAUUGGAAGAGGAAGAUUAUUGUUGCCAGCAGACAGAAGCGAUUUUCCAGCUUUGGGUUCUAUACUCCCGCAAAAGAUGAUGCUGAAGGAGAGGGGGGUAUUAACAAAAAGAGGGUGCGUAAAGUUUUCCCAAUUCUCGAAUUUAUAAAAGUAUCUCGACUUGCUUGUAUUGAGAGUGAACAAGAAGGCACCUACAUUUGUUCUGAUCUAGAUUCUGUGUCAUGUGAUAAUGAAAUUCGAAGCAGAGAGGAGAGUAUCAUAUCUGAGGAUGAAGCUGAAAUAGUUGAUCUUAUGAACAGAGUAGAACAACUGAAGAAAGAGCGCUCUAUUCUAUGGUUGCGGGAGUUCAAGGAAUGGAUGGAUCAUGCUUCUGAGAAUUUUGCAGAUGGUGGAAAUUUUAAUGUGACUGUGUUACUUCCUGGGAAAGAAAAUUGUAAAAAAAUGGGGAAAAGCGAAAGGCUUCUUAGUGAAAGUUCAAUAUAUGUUUCAGACUCUGUUGAAGCUUCAAGAGAUGAAAGUAACUUGAAUGUUUUACAAUCUGACAAUUCUUUUGCUGAUACGUCUACUGUUGUGCAUGCCAACAGAUAUUUUGAUCAUAUUUUUUCCUUAGGUAUUACUGGUGGUUUCCCUCUACCAGGCUUGAGGACAAUGGAUCUAAAACAGGAGUAUCAGAAAUCUUACUUUUAUGAUGAGAAGAAUAGCGGAUCCAUGCGAGCUGAGAGUUCUCAUCGCAAUAUUUUUACCGUCCAAGGAAGGAAUAGGAUGGUUGGAAAUGCCAGUGUAUCACAUUUGAAUACAAUUGAUAAUAUAACAGAGUCUAAUUCUUCCUCUGCUUACCCUGGAUCGCCGCCUCAUUAUCAGAAGGACCUUUUGCAUCGCCGCCACAAUUUGGUGGAAGAAAUUCUGCAGUUAUCUGCGGAGUCCUAUUCAGUGGCAUCAUCUAACAGCGAUACUAGCUGCAGUGAAGAUGAUUACUGUGAAGUUGGGCUACCAGUCCAGGAAUACCACAAUAGGAGUGUUGAAGGGCAUUCUUCAUCAUAUCUUUUUGAGGAUAAUUAUUGUGAAAAAGGAAAUAAGAUUUCCCAUGGGAACAAAAACGGCAUCUGCUUCAUUGAUUCAUGCACUGAACAAACCUUUAGUACCACCAAAAUUGUAAAUACGAACCAAACCCUGCAAUUGUCCAGUGACUUAGAUAUGGGUUCUCAUGAUCUAGAGAUAUCUUCUUUUGUGACCCAAGAGGCUGAUUGGUAUGAUGAAAGAAAAGGUAGCAGGAAAACAAAAAGAAGAGUGAUUUCAUUUUUGGAAGAGAAUAGCUGUCAACAGGUGCCACAAAAAUCAAAUGGUAAUCUGGAGUCUAGUGGGGCUGAUAUUAAGGAAAUGAAAGGGAAGCGCCUUUUAAAUGGGAGUGAUCAGAAAGAUUUUGAUAAAAAUCACAUGAAAAAUGCAAUUUCAACACCUCGACUUGAUAAUGUUGUGAGAUAUUCUGACGCUAAACGCUCAUCUGAGGGGAAGAAUGAUUUUAUUGAGGACUACUUCAAUGAAAAUGUUGCAGAUUUGAGAGUUCAUGAGACUUGUGGGCAAUAUAUUCGUUGCAGUUGUAUAGUUGACCAGUCUGAUUGCAGAGAAAGAGAAGUUGCUCUAGUAUUGAGCAGUGAGCAAAAGUUGUAUGUGCUACUUGUUGGUGUUGCAUGUGACGGAUCAGAGAGUAUCUUGGAUUUAUUAGGUUGCCAUAGGGUUGAAGAUAUAAGAGAGGUUUUAGUUGGUCUAAGUCUCCAGGUUGUGAGAUUGUACGUGGAAGGGAAUGUAUCAUACUUGUUCAUAACAAGGAGCAUCGAGAAAUCAACUCAAUUACUUCACACGGUGAAAGUUUCUGAUUCAUGUGCACCAAGUGAUAAAUGCUCUUUAAGGAGUUUGGAGCAGGUUCAGGCUGAGUUAUUUGAGAAUCAAAUAUGCGGAGGUUUAAAAUUAAGCAUGUUCCAACAUUCCAUGGUACUUUUUAAGGAAGGUGGCAAUAAAGAGGAAUCAUGGCUUUCAAGAUCACUGUUUCUUAUUGGAGGACAUGUGCUUGUGUGUGUUGAAGACAUUAUUCAGUUCAACUCUCUCCUAAAUGAUGCAUGCUCCCCUCCAUAUUUCUCACUCGAUUCAUGCUGCAACAUCACAGAUGUAUCUGAGAUGAUUCAUGGGAUCAAGAACUUUAUUAUAAGAAAGAGGCAUAAGAAUUUAGAUGAUGCGGGAUAUGGUCAUGCUUAUUGAAGGACUAAAUUAUAUAGAGAUUUGUUUUUAUUAAUUUUGUAUAGUUUUUUUAAUCCGGUUUUAAUUUUUAGUAUUUAAGGAAUAUUUUUGGGCAUUCAAUAGACUUAGUAUUUUAUGUUUAUGUUAGGGUAUAGUUAGCAGCCUAUGUGCCUAUAUUAUUUCAAUUUCUAGGAGCGAUGAGGUUAUUGGGAUUCUAUGAACUGAAUAUUGAGAAUUGAGUAAUGAAAUUUUUCCCUUUUCCCCUUGGGGUUUUUUGGUUCCUCUCCUUGUUUCUUCUAUUUUCCUCUAAGUUUGUCUUUUUCUUUUCUUUUUGUCUAAUUUUUUCUCCAUCUCUCUGUCUGUCCUUCACCGCCCUUGGUUUGCAUCAAUUAGGAAGAUUGAUGUGGGAUAAGAUCAUUUUUAUUGAAAUUAAAGUAUCUAGAAAUUACUUUAUAUAUAUUUCAAGGGUGUUUCUGCCCUUUUGCCUGAUUUUAUCUCCAUUCUUUCUUUGUCUCACCGUCCCCUCCUUUGUAUGCAUCAAUUAGGGAGAAUGAGUGGGGAACACAUCAUAUAUUUUUAGGGGGGAAUUUGUAAUUUUUAGCAUUUAGAGAGUUAUUACACCAUUUAGGGUUAUAUUUCAUCCUUAUUUUAUGGUUUUAUAGAACCUAUGUCAUUUUCUCUUUCUGGUAGGGAUUAUUGAGAUUUUUCCCUCUUGCUUGCCUUUCCUUCUGCACUUUAGUCUAGUGCUCCUUAAGUUUCUUUUAAUUCUUCCCUUCUUCUGCUAAUUUCAAUCUUUUCUCUACUUUCUUCUUCCUUGUUCCCUCCUUAUGCAGGUUGGGGAGGGGAAAGGAGAAGAAAAAGGGAUCAGACAGAAAUAGAGGGAAAAUUGGAGUGCAAGAAACUUAAAUAGAAAUUGAGUAAAUUGUGUAAAGAGAUAGAAACUUACGAUGAAAUCUCUGUACUCAAUGGAAAUCUCAAAAUUUUGAAAAUCCAUGAUCAAAAGCUACCAAAAACUGAAAAUAUCAAUUUAUAGGUUUCUUCUAAAGACUAAUGAAAUAUUGCCAAGUGCUAAUUUAACCUAAAAAUGUUGCAAUCAUUCCCUAAAUGCUAAAAUUGCAUUGAAUCGAUAAAAUAUAUAAAAUUAAUUAAACAGAUAUCUGAAUAGUUUAAUCCUUCAGUAAGCAUAUUUUUGCGUCGCAUCACCUACCUUGUAAAUUGUGAGGGCUGUUCCUCAUGGUUAAAGGGACCUCCAAAUAGAAAAAAGUACAUCGGUUAACCUGACCACUUGUUAUCGAGGAAAAGGGAAGUCAUUGUGUGACAUUAGCUCUUGCGAACCAUACUGCAUCAAAGGCCUGCUCCUCAAACAAAAUGCUAAAGGGGGUUGUGACAAGUAAGAAG